rnacentral:rRNA from 1 species
AUAAUUGAGGGCUAGUAUGAAUGGAACUACAAGACAUUUUCUGUAUUGGGAAGAAGGUAAUAAAUUGCUUUUUUAGUGAAGAAGCUAGAAUAGCGCUAUAGGACAAGAAGACCCUUUUGAGCUUUAUUGCUUCAUUGAUAAGGUAUCUCUGUGCAAUUUGGUUGGGGCGACCAAGGAAGGCUUAAUCUUCCUUUACAUAUAGCGAUCCAGAGUUUUUGAUUAUUAGACUAAGUUACCAAAGGGAUAACAGCGUAAUUUUUUUUGAGAGUUCUUAUUAAAAAAAAAGAUUGGCACCUCGAUGUUGGCUUAGGAA